UGAGCAAUCUGCCCUUCACAUCGGAAUAACCAUUGGAAACGAUGGCUAAUACCGAAUAUGACUUCGGAUCGCAUGAUCUGAAGUGGAAAGCUACGGCGGUGAAGGAUGAGCUCGCGGCCUAUCAGCUAGUUGGUGUGGGUAAUGGCCCACCAAGGCGACGACGGGUAGCCGGCCUGAGAGGGUGACCGGCCACACUGGGACUGAGACACGGCCCAGAUCCUACGGG
rnacentral:rRNA from 1 species